AAGAAAGCCAUGUCGAAAAAGGAAGGAGCUUUGCUUCAAUUCGCUCCGAUGCAGAGUUCCGUCGAUGAAGGCUUCUGGCACAGAUUCUCUUCCUUGAAGCUCAACAAGCUCGGCAUUGAUGAUUCUCCAUUACCCAUCAUUGGUUUCUAUGCACCUUGCUCACAUUCUCAAGUGUCAAAUCAAUUAACUCUGCUAGCUGAGUCUUUGCCGUCUGAAUCAAGUGAUUCUUCAUUGGUACCAGAACCAUGCUCUGGUAACAGGAACAAGUGUUCUGUACCUGGGGUUCUUUACAAUACCAAUACUGUAGAAGGUUUUCAUGCGCUUGAUAAGAUGAAACUCUUGAAGGAAGAGAUAUGGAAUGACAUAGUAACUGGAAAAGCUGCGGAGGACUGUGCAAUGCUUUCAAGAUUCCUUCUUAAUUGCACGCAUGCUUAUGGUGUGUAUUGAGAGCUAAGCCUCAAAGUGGUCAUUGAAAUUACACUCGUGCCUCAUAGUAGUUCCUGAACUUAAUAGUUACUCAUAUUCGUCCAAGUUGCACUCUGGGACUCAACUCGUCCUUCCGGCACAUUCUGUCCAUUUGGCACCACCGGAAAGCUGAUCUGGACUUGAAGGUGACACGCUGGCAAAGCUAAAACGAUGCAACAUUGGUGGUGGCGCGUAAAUGCCCUAAAACGAUAUCGUUUCACUCUAAAACUGCUUUUGAAGAAUCCUCCCUCAAACUUCAGGGAUCACUUUGUUUGCACUUUGGAAGGUGAGUGUAAUGGUGCGAGGGAGAAUAAAAAAUCGCAAGAUGAGGAUGGAAGACAACAGUGAAGCUGAUUAGCGCUGAGGGUUUCGAAUUCGUUGUUGAUAAGGAAGCUGCUAUGGUUUCACAGACCAUACACAACAUGCUUACCUCUCCAGGGAAUUUCGCUGAGAGGCGGCACGGCGAGGUUACCUUCCCUGAGAUCUGCACCACCAUUCUCGAGAAGAUUUGCCAGUAUUUUUAUUGGCAUCUCCAAUUCGCAAGGUUUCAAACUGGAUUCUUCAUGUGUCAGAGUCUGGGGUUUUGCUGAAUUCAGUGCUCCAUCAAAGAGAGAUUGUUUUACAUGGUUUUAUGUAUCAUGUGGUUGCACUUUUCAUUGUGUGCCCUUCUUUUAUCAAAUGACAAGAGAAAACUACUGGACAGCUUGAAAAUUCGAGAUACUACUGAAAAAUCGCAUUGCUAAUUGAGUUGGCCCUUUUUUCUAAUUGAUGUUUUGGACCCCUGCCCCCCUUCUCUACCCUAACCAGCAUCAAUGUUAGUCUUUCUUAUGUGUUGCAAUGUAAGCUAUACUUUCCUUUAGGAAGUAAUUGAAAGCUCUGUAGCUCUGAUCUGAAAUCUCUUAAUUCAUGCGAUGUUAUUUUUAGCAAAAUAGUUCUAUUGACUUGAAUAGUGAAAAUCUUGCUGUUGUUAGUGGGAAAGAGACAGAGCUUCCUAUUGAAUCUGAAUUAACUUUGGAGCUAAUGAUGGCUGCCAAUUACCUACAUACAUGAGCAUUUCCUAGGGGUAGUAGCUCUCCAUUCUCUGUGCAGAUGAAGCUGUUUCUUGGAAGAGCUUUCAUAAAGAUGUGACCGUAUAAUUUGCUGCCUUUGGAGACUGUAUCUUUGCAGGAACUAUAGUAUGUGUGUAAUAUGUGUAAUAUGUGUAAUCUAAUGGUCAUAGGACUCAACUUGAAAAAGUUGCAUAUGAGUGGCUAUUAGAUGCUUACUGUCGAUGAAGCCAUACAUUGUGUACAUGAACUGAUUCAAAGAAAAUGUUAAUUCAAAGUGAGCAUUACUAUCUCCAAAUAAUAGGAAAAAGUGAGCAUUACUAUCAACAAGCACACCAGCUGCCACCACCCAACCAGCCAGCACCCCACCUGCAAGCACUCCAUUUGCAAGCACUCUACCAGCAAGCACUAAUCCACCUAAUUCAAUGCAAGGUGCAACACAGGAAACUAUAUCAAGGCUUGCAAGCAUAAUGAGAUUUGUGUCUCUAAUCUUGAAUUCAAUCCACCCAAAACCAAGAAUUAAUGACUUAGAUUAUUAUGUUUAGGAACAAAUGGUGUCUAUUUAUCUGAUUUGGUGAAGUAACUUACUUUGUUGCUUCCUUAAUUAGAGUCCUAGUGUUGGGGAUUUUAGUGUUGGAAACUUAUGAGGUCUAUAUUUUGACAACUCUGAUAUACUUGGUGACUAUUGU